UACGAAGGGGGCUAGCGUUGUUCGGAAUCACUGGGCGUAAAGGGCGCGUAGGCGGCUAUAUAAGUCGGGGGUGAAAGCCUGUGGUUCAACCACAGAAUUGCCUUCGAUACUGUAUGGCUUGAGACCGGAAGAGGUUAGUGGAACUGCGAGUGUAGAGGUGAAAUUCGUAGAUAUUCGCAAGAACACCAGUGGCGAAGGCGGCUAACUGGUCCGGUUCUGACGCUGAGGCGCGAAAGCGUGGGGAGCAAACAGG
rnacentral:rRNA from 1 species